GCCCACCUUGAUCCAUGAAAGACACAGUGCUGAAGUCUAACUGACUAUCACCUAUUCCUUCAUCAGUGCCAUCUUGGAGCAGUUAAAGGAUCAGCGUGGACACCCAGACUUCUUGAACCACACCUGCUGAAGAACAGACUUUAUGGCCAAAGCUGAAAAGUAGGCAGAGGCAGCCUUCACCCUUUGGAAGGAAGUUUUGGUGCAACCUAAC